UACGUUCCUCGAGCCGCUUGGUACAUCUGGACCGUCCAAUCUAGCGCACGUGCCGUGUGCGCAGCUCCUACGGCCUGGGGUUGAUGACGUGGCCGUGCAUGGGAUCCCCUUGGAAUAAUAUAUUUGAUUGCGUCACAAACGAAAGGACAAAAAUAUGAUAUGAUGGAGAUCCAAUGAGGACGCGCACCGUGGCGAUUAUCGAGAGGGAGGAGAGCGUCUUAGGUUGUUA
rnacentral:lncRNA from 1 species